rnacentral:rRNA from 1 species
AAGCUGAGGAAAAGAAACCAACAGGGAUUGCCUUAGUAACGGCGAGUGAAGCGGCAAAAGCUCAAAUUUGAAAUCUGGCACCUUCGGUGUCCGAGUUGUAAUUUGAAGAAGGUAACUUUGGAGUUGGCUCUUGUCUAUGUUCCUUGGAACAGGACGUCACAGAGGGUGAGAAUCCCGUGCGAUGAGAUGCCCAAUUCUAUGUAAAGUGCUUUCGAAGAGUCGAGUUGUUUGGGAAUGCAGCUCUAAGUGGGUGGUAAAUUCCAUCUAAAGCUAAAUAUUGGCGAGAGACCGAUAGCGAACAAGUACAGUGAUGGAAAGAUGAAAAGAACUUUGAAAAGAGAGUGAAAAAGUACGUGAAAUUGUUGAAAGGGAAGGGCUUGAGAUCAGACUUGGUAUUUUGCGAUCCUUUCCUUCUUGGUUGGGUUCCUCGCAGCUUACUGGGCCAGCAUCGGUUUGGAUGGUAGGAUAAUGACUAAGGAAUGUGGCUCUACUUCGGUGGAGUGUUAUAGCCUUGGUUGAUACUGCCUGUCUAGACCGAGGACUGCGUCAUGACAAAAGGUUUGCUUAUGCGGGGC